rnacentral:misc_RNA from 1 species
CAGAGGGCGCAUCGGAGACAGAGAGAGCAAGCCCACAUGUCAGACAAGCGACCCGGUGCGCUGAACUCCUGCGGCCAUGUGGCCCCCAGCGCGCGAUCCAGCCCUUACGCGUCCUCUACGCACAGCCACCAACACCAGCAGCGGCCGCAUGGCAACACCAGCUGCAACGGUAGCACUACCUCAUUCAACGCUUCGUACCCGCAUCGAGGUGGGACAGUGGAGGGGCGUGGCCGUGGACAGAUCCCACGCAUUCACAACGAACAGGACGGGCGCGCACCACAACGCAUCGGAGGCGGAGAGCGUCGCCCCUUCAAUGCCACUUGGUCGAAGAGCGGGCCGACGUCCUUGAUGGAGGACGCGCCUCGUACGAAGCUAUCCUCGUAUGUUACGCCGCACGAAGCUGUUCAGGCGCAGCCGGCCCAACACGGCGCCACUGUCGUUCGCUCAGGCAGCUCCGCCACGGAGGGAGGAAGCAUUCUCUUCUUCAGCAGCGUCCAGAAAAAGGGCGGCGCCUUCACCGCCUCGGAGCGAGAGACGUACGCGCAGCUGCACCGUAGCCGCGCUAUCCCCAACGUCAACCGAGGCCGCAAUGCCGGCAACGUGAUGGGCAGCGGCGUGUCGGCCAAGUCCGUGGCGCGGAAAUACGCCGACUUGGAGAAGGACCGCGAGGCGCUCGAGAUAUCGCAGGCAAAGGCCACCGUGGCCGGCUGGAAGCGACCGCGUUUCACGCUGGACGACUCACCCAGCGAGGACGAUGGGGAAGACGCGGAGGCCACGGCAAAGCAGCCGAGGACCCGCGCCACGUGAGCUUCCGAGACGGCGGUGGGCUGUGGAAUGCCGUCUGCGACAGGGGCUCACUGCCUCGGCAAUGCGGUGCUGGCGACCGUCGCUGCCGUGCUGCACAGGAAAGGAGGGGGCGACGGGAGCGCUGUUGCGCGGCGCUUCGCACGGUUGGGGGAGCAGCUCGAAGCUGCCGCUGCUGCUGCGCCGCGCGCCCACAGAGGAACACGAGAGCCAGACCGCGUCUCGAGGUCGUUGGGUCUCUCCCGCCAAGCGCGUCUCGCAUCCUGACCCAAAGCAGCAUGACCCCUCCCGUCACUCAUUCACGUGCUGCAUUUAUUGUCCCUCUCAUUUCUGCCUGCUUUUCCUUCUUCGCUAACGUCAGGCAUCCUUUCCCUCUUUCUACCUCUCUCGCUGUCUCUGCGGGUGCGGGUGUGCGGGGGGGGGGUGCGCACCUCCGCGUUGUCGUGCGCCUUUAUUGUUCCGCUUUCGGUAGGACGACAGCACCACGUGCUGGCCGUAUAACUAACGGCGUGAGCCGCCACGAGCUGGUGCUCGUGUGCUCCUCACUGACGGAGGUCGUCUGUGGGCGUCUCCGCGCAUCUCUUCAUCGCUUUAGCACUUGUCCGUGCGCGUGGUGUCUUGGCGCAUGUCUGCCGCCCUUCGCCGCUCGUGUGUGUCGCCCUCUUGGCAGCUCCUUCAGCCACCCAUUUCAUUGCGUUUUCGCGUCUCACUGCCUCU